AUCGAACGCUGGCGGCAGGCCUAACACAUGCAAGUCGAGCGGAUGAAGAGAGCUUGCUCUCUGAUUCAGCGGCGGACGGGUGAGUAAUGCCUAGGAAUCUGCCUGGUAGUGGGGGACAACGUUUCGAAAGGAACGCUAAUACCGCAUACGUCCUACGGGAGAAAGUGGAGGAUCUUCGGACCUCACGCUAUCAGAUGAGCCUAGGUACGAUUAGCUAGUUGGUGAGGUAAAGGCUCACCAAGGCGACGAUCGUUAACUGGUCUGAGAGGAUGAUCAGUCACACUGGAACUGAGACACGGUCCAGACUCCUACGGGAGGCAGCAGUGGGGAAUAUUGGACAAUGGGCGAAAGCCUGAUCCAGCCAUGCCGCGUGUGUGAAGAAGGUCUUCGGAUUGUAAAGCACUUUAAGUUGGGAGGAAGGGCAGUAAGUUAAUACCUUGCCGUUUUGACGUUACCGACAGAAUAAGCACCGGCUAACUUCGUGCCAGCAGCCGCCGCCG
rnacentral:rRNA from 1 species